GUUUCUGUACUGUAGUGGUUAUCACAUUGGCUUCACACGCAAAAGGUCUCUGGUUUGACACCAGACAGAAACA
rfam:Xiphophorus maculatus strain JP 163 A Contig1619.1, whole genome shotgun sequence.